ACCACCCUUGUAUGUUUGAUGUUCUAACGUUGGCCCCUAAUCGGGGUUGCGGACAGUGCCUGGUGGGUAGUUUGACUGGGGCGGUCUCCUCCCAAAGAGUAACGGAGGAGCACGAAGGUGGGCUAAUCACGGUUGGACAUCGUGAGGUUAGUGCAAUGGCAUAAGCCCGCUUAACUGCGAGAAUGACGGUUCGAGCAGGUGCGAAAGCAGGUCAUAGUGAUCCGGUGGUUCUGAAUGGAAGGGCCAUCGCUCAACGGAUAAAAGGUACUCCGGGGAUAACAGGCUGAUACCGCCCAAGAGUUCAUAUCGACGGCGGUGUUUGGCACCUCGAUGUCGGCUCAUCACAUCCUGGGGCUGAAGUCGGUCCCAAGGGUAUGGCUGUUCGCCAUUUAAAGUGGUACGCGAGCUGGGUUUAGAACGUCGUGAGACAGUUCGGUCCCUAUCUGCCGUGGGCGUUGGAAGAUUGAAGGGGGCUGCUCCUAGUACGAGAGGACCGGAGUGGACGAACCUCUGGUGUUCGGGUUGUGUCGCCAGACGCAUUGCCCGGUAGCUAAGUUCGGAAUCGAUAACCGCUGAAAGCAUCUAAGCGGGAAGCGAGCCCUGAGAUGAGUCUU
rnacentral:rRNA from 1 species